CCUACGGGUGGCAGCAGUAGGGAAUAUUGCUCAAUGGGGGAAACCCUGAUGCAGCAACGCCGCGUGGGGGAUGAAGGUUUUAGGAUUGUAAACUCCUUUUAUUAGAGAAGAUUAUGACGGUAUCUAACGAAUAAGCACCGGCUAACUACGUGCCAGCAGCCGCGGUAAUACGGAGGGUGCAAGCGUUACUCGGAUUCACUGGGCGUAAAGAGAGCGUAGGCGGGGUAGUAAGUCAGAUGUGAAAUCCUGUGGCUUAACUACAGAACUGCAUUUGAAACUGUUACUCUGGAGUGUGGGAGAGGUAGGUGGAAUUCUUGGUGUAGGGGUAAAAUGCGUAGAGAUCAAGAGGAAUACUCAGUGCGAAGGCGACCUGCUGGAACAUUACUGACGCUGAUGCACGAAAGCGUGGGGAGCAAACAGGAUUAGAUACCCGGGUAGUC
rnacentral:rRNA from 1 species